rnacentral:lncRNA from 1 species
GGUAGGGCAGUGUGGUGGGCAGCUCUAGAGAUGAGCUUGUCCCUCAGGAGGCAGGCAGGUGGGAAAAGGUGCAUUAGGGAGACAGAAUCCCUAACUAUGGGAGUGGUACACAGUUUUUCCAGCAGAGUUCACAGCAAACCCUGAACCCCCACACACCUGGGAAGUGAUACUGCCAGCAGGUGCCUUAAGACUCAAGGGGAGGGAGCUGAUAUGUGGAUCUCACAACCUAUACAGUGGUCUGCAAGUGGCUCCACUUAGCUGCUUAAUUAUAAUACCCACUGUCUGUUCCCAGCCCUCCAACUCCGGGGGACUGAGGGGAAAUGCCUCCAUGAGGCUCCUGUGGCAAAGCCAUGCUAAUAAUCUGACUUCUAACCUCAGUUAGAAACCCAAAAUGCCAAACCACCUCCUAACUCGCUGAAACCCAACCACACUCUGAGGCAGCGCCUGGGUCCAGGCUGCUCAAGAGCCUAUGCUUCCAGCCCCCAUUUUCCUCAACUCAAGAUGCCUUUUAAUACAGAACUACAUGGAAGUAGAGGAACCCUUGGGCACUGGGAAGUAGCAGGGAUCCCAGCUCUGAUCAAGUGAGAGGACAGAGCAGGGAAGACGCCAUACUCGCUGAGAUGGGUCCCAUUAUUUAUGCUUUGCUGCACAGACACUAUUAGAGGAAAAGCUUUGUAUUACUCUCCCACGUGAGCUGCUGCUGUUUACCCUGCCAAUGCCUUAGCACUGGAGAGCUUUUUGCAAUAUGCUGGGGAAAGGGGAGGGAGGGGAUGAAGUGCCAAAGAAAACACAUUUUAAAAGCUCUGGUUUUAUACAAUAGAAUGUUUUCCAGCAGAUGCCUCUUUGUUUUAAUAUAUUAAAAUCUUGCAAAACUCUUUGAGCG